CGAGUGAACAGGGAAAAGCCCAACACUGAAGCCUGUGGCUGUUUGGUCACUAGGCAAUGUGGUGUUCAGGUCGUUCCGCAGAGACACUGCUCCAACCCUAAGUCCAACAAUGAGUACGGUUACUCGGACAUGGCCCAAGGAGGGUGAAAGGCCCGUGUGGGUGGAGAUCAGGCAGGCCAGUGUUUCUCUGGGUAGACCUUGGAGUCGGGUUGUUUGUGAAUGCAGCCCAAAGUGGGUGGUAAACUCCAUCCAAGGCUAAAUACCAGCACGAGUCCGAUAGCGAACAAGUACCGUGAGGGAAAGUUGAAAAGUACUUUGAAGAGAGAGUAAACAGUGCGUGAAACCGCUCAGAGGUAAACGGGUGGAGUUGAACUGCAAGCUCUGGGAAUUCAGCUGGUGAGCAUGGUUUGGGCUUGGUCAAAUUGGUUGUUGUCUGGGGUCUGCGUAGCAGCAGGUCUCUGCCUUCUGGUGGGGAUGUGCGAUACACUUAUCAAGUGUUGUGCGCCCUGGAGCAAUCGAGCCAACUUGCCAGUGCACUUUCUCAGAGUGGUCACCACGACCGGCACUGCUGUCUGGCUGUUGUGGUUAAACCGGUCUUGCUUUGGCCUUGUGUCUUUGCUUGGUCGGGAUGGCAGGUAGCCCGUUGGCUUGUCUGUGGUUCGCUGCAGGCGUUCGGCUUCCGGGUGUAAUCAGCUGACUAUGAUGGUUCUGUGCAGUGUGUCGGAGACGGCGGCUUGUGGUGCAUGCGUGCGUUGCCUUGUGCUGGCGGGUCUGAGUUUGGUUGCUAUGUUGCUUGUUCAAGCAGGCCUGGCGAUGGCUCGGAUCUGUUCGGUGCUCGGUGGUGUGUGUUGUGCUAUUACCAGGGCCAAUAGUC
rnacentral:rRNA from 1 species